rnacentral:rRNA from 1 species
UACGUAGGGACCGAGCGUUGUCCGGAAUCAUUGGGCGUAAAGAGCGUGUAGGCGGCCACUUAAGUCCUGCGUGAAAUCUUGCGGCUCAACCGCAAGCGGUCGUGGGAAACUGGGUGGCUAGAGUGCGGGAGAGGAGAGUGGAAUUCCUGGUGUAGCGGUGGAAUGCGCAGAUAUCAGGAAGAACACACGUGGCGAAGGCGGCUCUCUGGAACGCAACUGACGCUGAGACGCGAAAGCGUGGGGAGCAAACAGG